rnacentral:lncRNA from 1 species
CAGAAUCACAAACCCACCACUGGGGCCCAAGAGCAGCACACACCAACCAUCACCACCACCUGGACACUAAAACUCCCAUUCCUGCCCCCACUCCCAGCCUGUUUCUCUCCCCUACCCCACAGCAGGCACAAAGGGAUCCCUGAAGGAACUUCUGAAUUCACAAGCCUCUUGCAAGCGCCCCUCCACCCCACCCAGAAAGGCACCAGGGCUCUCCACUCUGUGCCGGAUGCCCCUAGCUGAGCCACAGUGUCCCCAGAGCCUUGCCCUAGCUCUGGAUAAAACCGAAGCUGUCAGCAUGCUAAUUAGGACCUUGAGAGGGUGGGCUCAUGGACUGACAAUUAAUAACUCCAUCUCUCUGUUUCCUGCUGGCAUAUUAUUAAUUCAUCGGGCCUCUCCAGUGGGGCCAGAGAGAUAACACAGACUGUGAAAGUUCACAUUUCAAUUUGAGGCUGAGAUGCUGAGGAGGGGUGUUGAGAGAAGUGCCAGUCCUCCGGAGAGUGAGGGCAUAGCGUGGGAAAGACUUGUCCACAGUCCCACUUCUAGGACUUGACCCUACAGAAAUGAAAGUGCACAUCCUAAAGGCAUGUAGGGGAGGCUUACUACAGCACAGCUGGUAACUGCAAAGCAACUGGGAACAUCCAUUGAUAGGGUUGCUGGAAUAAACUGUGGUUCAGUCAUGCUGAGGAAUACUCUGCAGCGUGAAAGAGAUGUUAUGGACAUCUUUCCAGAAAUGGCCAAAGAAAGAUGCACACCAUAUCCUGUAAUUUUUAAAAACUAAAAGAAUAAGAGCAAAACAAAGACCUAUAUGUGUAAUAUAAUUUCAUGUUCAUCACAGAAAGAGGGAAGGGGAGGAGGGAGGGAGGGAGGGGGAAUUUUUCCCAGCUUAAGUAUAAACACAGGGGAAAGAAGCAACCAUAACAGAUGGCAGCUGGGGGAGGGGCUGAGAUGAGAGAGGAGUUGAGAUGGGGAGAGGUUGAGGUGGGGGAGGGGUUGAGAUGGAGGAGGAGUUGAGAUGGGGGAGGAGUUGCAAUGGUAGAGGAGUUGAGGUGGGGGAAGGGUUGAAGUUGGAGAGGAGUUGAGGUGGGGGAGGGGUUGAAGUUGGGGAGGGGUUGAGAUGGAGGAGGAGUUGAGGUAGAGAGCAGUUGAGAUGGGGAAGUCUUGAGAUGGGGAAGGGUUGAGGUGGGAGGGGUUAGGAUGAGGAAGAGGCUGAGAUGAGGGAGAAGUUGAGGUGGAGGGGGUUGAGAUGGAGAAGGAAUGAGGUGAGGAGGGGUUAAGAUGGGGGAGGAGUUGAGAUGGCGGUGGAAUUGAGAUGGGAGGGGUUGGGACGGGCAGGGGUAGAGAUAGGGAAGGAGUUGAGAUGAGUGAGGUUGAGAUGGGGCAGAGGUUGAGAUGGGUGAGGGUUGAGAUGGGUGUGGUGAGAUGGGUAGAGUUCAGAUGAGGUAGGCUUGAGAUGGGGAGAGGGUGAAAUAGGGAGGGGGUUGAGUUGUGAAGGGGUUGAGAUUGACAGGGGUUGAGACGGGAAGGGGCUGAGUUGUGAAGGGGUUGAGAUGGGAAGGGGUUGAGAUGGGAAGGGGUUGAGUUGUGAAGGGGUUGAAUUGUAAAGGGGUAGAGAUGGGAAGGGGUUGAGAUGGGAAGGGGUUGAGUUGGGAAGGGGUUGAGAUGGGAAGGGAUUGAGUUGUGAAGGGGUUAAGUUGUGAAGUGGUUGAGAUGGGAAGGGGUUCUGUUGUUAAGGGGUUGAGUUGUGAAGGGGUUGAGACAGGAAGGGGUUGAGUUUUGAAGGGAAUGAGAUGGGAAGGGGUUGAGUUGUGAUGGGGCCAUGAUGGGAAUGGGGUUGAGUUGUGAAGGGGUUGAGUUGUGAAGUGGCUGAGAUGGGAAGCGGUUGAGAUGGGA